rnacentral:rRNA from 1 species
AGUGAACGCUGGCGGUAGGCCUAACACAUGCAAGUCGAACGGCAGCACAGUAAGAGCUUGCUCUUACGGGUGGCGAGUGGCGGACGGGUGAGGAAUACAUCGGAAUCUACUUUUUCGUGGGGGAUAACGUAGGGAAACUUACGCUAAUACCGCAUACGACCUACGGGUGAAAGCAGGGGAUCUUCGGACCCUGCGCGAUUGAAUGAGCCGAUGUCGGAUUAGCUAGUUGGCGGGGUAAAGGCCCACCAAGGCGACGAUCCGUAGCUGGUCUGAGAGGAUGAUCAGCCACACUGGAACUGAGACACGGUCCAGACUCCUACGGGAGGCAGCAGUGGGGAAUAUUGGACUAUGGGCGCAAGCCUGAUCCAGCCAUACCGCGUGGGUGAAGAAGGCCUUCGGGUUGUAAAGCCCUUUUGUUGGGAAAGAAAAGCAGCAGGUUAAUACCCCGCUGUUCUGACGGUACCCAAAGAAUAAGCACCGGCUAACUUCGUG